rnacentral:sRNA from 1 species
CUGUCUUUUCCGCGCUACCUGCAGAGGGGUCCAUACGGCGUUGUUCUGGAUUCCCGUCGUAACUUAAAGGGAAACUUUCACAAUGUCCGGAGCCCUUGAUGUCCUGCAAAUGAAGGAGGAGGAUGUCCUUAAGUUCCUUGCAGCAGGAACCCACUUAGGUGGCACCAAUCUUGACUUCCAGAUGGAACAGUACAUCUAUAAAAGGAAAAGUGAUGGCAUCUAUAUCAUAAAUCUGAAGAGGACCUGGGAAAAGCUUCUGCUGGCAGCUCGUGCUAUUGUUGCCAUUGAAAACCCUGCUGAUGUCAGUGUUAUAUCCUCCAGGAAUACUGGCCAGGUUUGUGGAACAGUGGUUAUUUUUUAUAUUAUAAAAAUAAAGCUUACAGACAUUGUGAGACAUCUAGAAAGACAUAAGAAAACAGAAAUAACUCAGGCCGGGCGCAGUGGCUACGCCUGUAAUCCCAGCACUUUGGGAGGUGGAGUCCGGCAUAUUACGAGGUCAGGAGAUCCACACCACGGCGAAGCCCCGUCUCUACUAAAAAUACAAAAAAUCAGUUGGGCGUGGGGGCGGGUGCCUGUAGUCCCAGCUACUCGGGAGGCC